UACGAAGGGUGCAAACGUUGCUCGGAAUUACUGGGCGUAAAGCGUGCGCAGGCGGUGAUGUAAGACAGUUGUGAAAUCCCCGGGCUCAACCUGGGAACUGCAUUUGUGACUGUAGAGCUGGAGUGCGGCAGAGGGGAUGGAAUUCCGCGUGUAGCAGUGAAAUGCGUAGAUAUGCGGAGGAACACCGAUGGCGAAGGCAAUCCCCUGGGCCUGCACUGACGCUCAUGCACGAAAGCGUGGGAGCAACAGG
rnacentral:rRNA from 1 species